AUUGAACGCUAGCGGCAGGCCUCACCCAUGCAAGUCGAGCGAGCGGCGGACGGGUUAGUAAUGUCUGUGAAACUGCCUGAUGGAGGGGGAUAACUACUGGAAACGGUAGCUAAUACCGCAUACCAUCAGAUGUUCCCAGAGUAGAUUAGCUAGUAGCUGGGGUAAUUGCUCACCUAGUCGACGAACCCUAGCUGGUCUGAGAGGAUGACCCGCACCACGGGAACUGAUAAACGGUACAGACUCCUACGGGAGGCAGCAGUGGGGAAUAUUGAACAAGUGGCGCAAGCUGGAUGCAGCCAUGCCGGGUGUGUGAAGAAGGCCUUCGGGUUGUAAAGCACUUUCAUCGGGGAGGCGGCACCCGCAGAAGAAGAACCGGCUAAAUCCGUGCCAGAAGCCGCGGUAAUUC
rnacentral:rRNA from 1 species